GGGCGAUUAGCUCAGUUGGCUAGAGCGCUUGCUCGACAAGCAAGAGGUCACUGGUUCGAGCCCAGUAUCGCCCA
rfam:Candidatus Brocadia fulgida BROFTL_contig000145, whole genome shotgun sequence.